rnacentral:rRNA from 1 species
CCAAUAGCGUAUAUUAAAGUUGUUGCAGUUAAAAAGCUCGUAGUUGAAUUUCGGGAUCAGUUCGCUGGUCGUGCCUCUGGUAUGUACUGGUGUUACUGGUUCCUCCCUUCUGACGAACUGUUAUGUCAUUUAUUUGGUGUGGCAGGGAAUCAGGACUGUUACUUUGAAAAAAUUAGAGUGUUUAAAGCAGGCUCGCGCUUGAAUACAUUAGCAUGGAAUAAUGAAAUAGGACGUUCGAUCCUAUUUUGUUGGUUUCUAGGAUUGACGUAAUGAUUAAUAGGGAUAGUUGGGGGCAUUAGUAUUCAAUUGUCAGAGGUGAAAUUCUUGGAUUUAUUGAAGACUAACUACUGCGAAAGCAUUUGCCAAGGAUGUUUUCAUUAAUCAAGAACGAAAGUUAGGGGAUCGAAGACGAUCAGAUACCGUCGUAGUCUUAACCAUAAACUAUGCCGACUAGGGAUCGGAUGAUGUUAUUUUUAAUGACUCAUUCGGCGCCUUACG